rnacentral:tRNA from 1 species
ACGGACGUGCCGCGUUCGCGGAGGCGGUCCGCCUGUUUCGACCGGGCGGCCUUGUCCGAGGUCAUGAAGAUGGUUCGGUUCGACCGUUCGCG